UUCCAUAUGGCUCAAAUGGUAAAGCGUCUGCCUACAAAGCGGAAGACCUGGGUUCGAUCCCUGGGUUGGGAA
rnacentral:tRNA from 1 species